rnacentral:rRNA from 1 species
UACAGAGGAUGCAAGCGUUAUCCGGAAUGAUUGGGCGUAAAGCGUCUGUAGGUGGCUUUUUAAGUCCGCCGUCAAAUCCCAGGGCUCAACUCUGGACAGGCGGUGGAAACUACCAAGCUGGAGUACGGUAGGGGCAGAGGGAAUUUCCGGUGGAGCGGUGAAAUGCGUAGAGAUCGGGAAGAACAUCAGUGGCGAAGGCGGUCUGCUGGGCCGUUGCUGACGCUGAGGCGCGAAAGCGUGGGGAGCAAACAGG